rnacentral:rRNA from 1 species
UGAGGAAUCUUGCACAAUGGGCGCAAGCCUGAUGCAGCGAUGCCGCGUGAGGGAUGAAGGCCUUCGGGUCGUAAACCUCUUUCGACAGGGAAGAAGCCGGGGGUCACCCCGGUGACGGUACCUGUAUAAGAAGCCCCGGCUAACUACGUGCCAGCAGCCACGGUAAAACGUAGGGGGCGAGCGUUGCCCGGAUUCACUGGGCGUAAAGCGGGUGUAGGCGGUCCGUUAAGUCGGGUGUGAAAUCUCCAGGCUCAACCUGGAAACUGCACCCGAUACUGCCGGACUUGAGGACGGUAGAGGUCGGUGGAAUGAGCGGUGUACCGGUGAAAUGGACAGAUAUCGCUCAGAACACCAGUGGCGAAGGCGGCCGACUGGGCCGUUCCUGACGCUGAGACCCGAAAGCCAGGGGAGCGAACCG